rnacentral:lncRNA from 1 species
GGGAUUGAUUGAAAUACCCAAUCUUUCUGAGGAAAAUGAAGUAGAUGACACUGAGGUCAACGUUGAGUAAAAAGAAAGGAGAUGGGGUUAUACUGAAGGAUCUUAUGAAAACUGCAGGCACUGCCAAGGUCAGGGAGGCCCUUGGAGAUUACCUGAAGGCACUUAAGACGGAAUUUACAACGGGAAUGAUUUUACCAACGAAAGCUAUGGCAACCCAGGAAUUGACUGUCAAAAGAAAACUGAGUGGGAAUACCCUGCAGGUUCAGGCCUCAUCUCCAGUGGCACUGGGUGUAAGGAUUCCCACUGUGGCUCUUCACAUGAUGGAACUGUUUGACACAACUGUAGAGCAGCUGUAUAGCAUCUUCACUGUAAAGGAGGUAAGUAACUCCCUAAGCUAGCAUGUUAAGUGCUGACAUUGGGAGAAAAUACAUUACAAAGAACAGGAGCUGGUUUUUGGUUUUCCUUGUGGCUGUGUUUUUGAUUGAAGGGAUGUGGGAUGGUGGUG